GUACUUGUACUACCUUGAAUGGAGAGCCACACACUAAUUCCCGCAUAGAGUACAUAAACAGAUCCAAAGAGUACAACUGAUGCACAUGUCAUGUGGUUUGAGUACGAAGUUGUUGGCAUUUCUGAACUCAAGUACCUCCUCUCACAUCCCUCCAUUCUUCCUAUUUAGCUACACAUUUUUAUUAUACCACUAAGCAAACAAAACAAACACAUGCAACAACCAACGACACAUAAUGCAAUCACUCUCAUAAACUGCACAUUUUCUUUACUCAGUCUUCUCAGUUGGACCCUCCUCGCUCUUCUCAUCACCUUCUGCGAUCACUUCCUCCUCUUUCUUUUCAUCUGACCCUUCUGUCUCAACCUUCUCCACCUCACUUUUCUCUUCUGGGGUUUCUGUGUUUACCUCUUCCUUAGCUAUUUCUUUCUCUUCUUUAACAGCAUCUUCUUUCUGGGUCUC
rnacentral:lncRNA from 1 species